rnacentral:lncRNA from 1 species
UGAAAGUCUAUUAGUUCCUAGCACAUCCACGUGCCCAAAUUACCACACAGUUUGGCAUGGCUAACAGUCCUAGAGUAGAAUUAGGACUGGUAUUACCAGGUUCAGGAGGUUAGUAUUUUAGUGUAUUAGCAGAGCCAUAUGCAGUGUCAGGCAUGGAAGAACCUGGGCUGCAGCACAUUCACACUAAGGUACCUGGGAGAAGUGUGGAAUAGUUACUUGAUAAGGGCUAAACACAAUCCAAUCUGA